ACUUAGUGGCGAACGGGUGAGUAACACGUAGGGAACCUGCCCAUGUACCCGGGAUAACAGAUGGAAACGUCUGCUAAAACCGGAUAGGUAUAGACAAGGCAUCUUGACUAUAUUAAAGGACCUUCGGGUGUGGACAUGGAUGGACCUGCGGCGUAUUAGCCAGUUGGCGGGGUAACGGCCCACCAAAGCGAUGAUACGUAGCCGGCCUGAAAGGGUAGACGGCCACAUUGGGACUGAGACACGGCCCAAACUCCUACGGAAGGCAGCAG
rnacentral:rRNA from 1 species